GAUGAACGCUAGCUACAGGCUUAACACAUGCAAGUCGAGGGGUAACGAGAGGAAAGCUUGCUUUCCUUGUCGACGACCGGCGCACGGGUGAGUAACGCGUAUCCAACCUGCCACCAACUAGGGAAUAACCUUGCGAAAGUAAGACUAAUACCCUAUAAUUUCCUCAGAUGUCAUCUGACGAGGAAUAAAGAUUUAUCGGUUGUGGAUGGGGAUGCGUCUGAUUAGCUUGUUGGCGGGGUAACGGCCCACCAAGGAAACGAUCAGUAGGGGUUCUGAGAGGAAGGUCCGCCACAUUGGAACUGAGACACGGUCCAAAAUCCUACGGGAGGCAGCAGUGUGGAAUAUUGGUCAAUGGGCGGAAGCCUGAACAGCCAAGUGGCGUGCAGGAUGACGGCCCUAUGGGUUGUAAACUGCUUUUAUACAGGAAUAAAGUUAGCCACGUGUGGUUAUUUGUAGGUACUGUAUGAAUAAGGACCGGCUAAUUCCGUGCCAGCCGCCGCCGCGG
rnacentral:rRNA from 1 species